GAUGCUGAUGUUGGCUUUGAUGAAAUGACAUUGUAGGAGAGCAAUUGAGGUAGACCUUAACUAAAUAUUCUCAUUUGGUCUUUCAGCACGGUGAGGCUACUCCAGGAGCUACAGGAUUUUUUGAAGUAACUGUUGGGGAUAAACUGAUCCAUAGCAAAAAGAAUGGUGAUGGCUAUGUUGAUUCAGAGAAGAAAGUCAACAAGAUAAUUGAUGCAGUCCACGAUGCACUUGGUGACUAGAGUUUAACCUUCUGUGGACGGCCUGAUUUGUUGUGCCUUGGUAGGCCUCUUUGCGGCAGGGCUGCUGAAUAUGAAACAUUGUGCUGAAAACCCUCUGCUUGGAUGGCACUUUGUGGAGGAAAAGAGGAGCCCUUUCAAGGUUGCCUUAAAGAGGUCUUCUAGAGCACAUCAAGAGCAGGUUGUCCUCUUUUACCAGUACCUUAUUCAGGGAUCUUAACUGUAAUGCCUUUGGCUCAUCUUGCAUAAUAAAAUUUAUCUCUUAA